rnacentral:miRNA from 1 species
GGUCUCUCUAUGCAGUCCAGGCUGUCCUUGAGCUCACUUUGUAGCCCAGGCUGGCCUUGAACUCACAACCAUCCUCCUGCCUCAGCCUCCCGAGUGCUGGGAUUACAGGCGUGUGCCACCACGCCCG